UGCGAGUUGUAUGGGAUCCCUAAAUUUCCCAUGGCAAACUGCUCAGUAACACAUGAUCAACUUACCCUAUAGAGAAAUAUAACCUCGGGAAACUGAGGAUAAUUCUUCAUAGUUGAAAAGGCUUGGAAAAGUUUUUCAAUAAAAGGGAUAAGAAAAAUGGUUCUUAUCUGCUAUAGGAUAGGAUCGUGUUCGAUUAUGGUUGUUGGUGAGGUAAUGGCUCACCAAGCCGAUAAUCGAUAGGGGCCGUGAGAGCGGAAGCCCCGAGAUGGGUACUGAGACAGCGACCCAGGCCUUACGAGGCGCAGCAGGCGCGAAACCUCCACAAUACACGAAAGUGUGAUGGGGUUACCCAAAGUGUUCUAUUAAGAACUGUGGUAGGUGAGUAAUGUUCCCUACUAGAAAGGAGAGGGCAAGGCUGGUGCCAGCCGCCGCGGUAAAACCAGCUCUUCAAGUGGUCGGGAUAAUUAUUGGGCUUAAAGUGUCCGUAGCCGGUUUAGUAAGUUCCUGGUAAAAUCGGGUAGCUUAACUAUCUGCAUGCUAGGAAUACUGCUAUACUAGAGGGCGGGAGAGGUCUGAGGUACUACAGGGGUAGGGGUGAAAUCUUAUAAUCCUUGUAGGACCACCAGUGGCGAAGGCGUCAGACUGGAACGCGCCUGACGGUGAGGGACGAAAGCCAGGGGAGCGAACCGGAUUAGAUACCCGGGUAGUCCUGGCCGUAAACGAUGCAUACUAGGUGAUGGCACGGCCAUGAGCCAUGUCGAGUGC
rnacentral:rRNA from 1 species